UCCAAUCCUUCGCCGGCGACCCCCUGCGCACAAGACUUCGAGGUUUGAUGUCCUCUCUUUGCUGAACAUUGUUGCAUGCUGCUCCGGAUGAUUCGAUCAUCUCGGCCAAGGUUGUGAGUUCUGAUUUACAAAUGCCAUAUGCUUCGAUUGCAUGUAUAUUUGGAUCAGCUUAUGCUUUGCUUUGGCAUGCAUUGUUUUGUCGAGUUUGUUUUGGGCAUGAGGAGAUUGUGUUCUUCGAUCUCUGCAUGCGUGAUGUUUUGCCGGA
rnacentral:misc_RNA from 1 species